rnacentral:lncRNA from 10 species
AGAGAAGUUCCCUACACCACUUCUGUCUUUGCCUGCUGCCAUCCACGUGAUAUGUGACUUGCUGCUCCUUGCCUUCUGCCAUAAUUGUGAGGCCUCCUCAGCCACACGGAAAUGCUUAUAGGCAUAAGAGACUUGCCUUGUCUCAGAUGAAACUUUGGACUGUGGACUUUUGAGUUAAUGCUGAUAUUAGGACUCUGCUUACCCUUUGUGAAUAAGCCCAGUGAAUCUGCUGAGUGAUGAGAGAGAGAGUGGGCCAGUCACUUCAUUGCUCCAGGUGGUUAUGUUGAAGAUGUAAAUAUUCUCCCUGCUGUGAGUAUUACUGCAGCUGCCCAAAGAUGCUUUAUUUUAAAGAUGUGGAUACAGGAAGAUAAAAGCAUCAGAAACACUGCAUGGGACAUCCCCACUGGCAAUUGGGACAUCUAUUUUGGAGAUGUAAUUGAAAAGACUGAAGAAUGUACUGAGGACCUUCUGGCUGAUAGAAGCUGACAAAGAAGCCAAGAUUGGUGAAGAUUUCUGCAAUACCUGAGUUUCUAAUCACAACAACAAAAAUGACCUGGAUAGAAAACCUUGGAGAUAGUAAUUGAUGGGCAUCACGUAGCUGGUUGCUGGAGAAACACUGAAGCAGAACUUGUAAUAUCUUCAAAACAAGUGAAGGCCAGGAAUCAGAAAUGCUUCUGAAGGUCAGCUGCCUCUCCAGCCAUCUAUGAAGAGCUAUGGUUCUGAAUCCUGGCUAAUAUCAGAAUCAUCCUGGGAGCUUUUGAAAAUCCUGAUGCUCAAGUCACACUCCAUACUCAGACAAGAAGCUGAGUCUCAGAGAGAGAAAAUGACUCAUCCAAGCAAGGUUUGAGACCUAAGAAAGGUUGUGUAAGCAGAAGCUGGAAGACCCUUGAAAAGAGCAUUCAUUCAAGAAAUGAAGCAUGAGAUAGGAUGGAAGGAGGGAAGAAAGACAAGCAUAUGGCAUAUCAGGUCUCUUCCAGUGCUAAAGGCUGCCUAUGAUACUCAUCUGACCUGAUUUCUCCUGCACAGUGUUGCAACUGACGAGUAGCAGACUUGCCCUUGCCUGCAUUUGGGGGGAUGGCUGAGACUUUCCUUACAGAAAGCCCUACUUUCAGCAUGAACACUAACCCAGUUUAUUGGCUCAGGGUGUAGAGAGUUGCCUUGUCACUGGCGAAGUCAGAUGCAGCCAGUACCAGAGCUCUGCACUAGCUGUGAACACUAAGGAAGAAUAGCUGAGUGAGGAAGCAGAGUGCCAGGCAGCACAUCCUUCUUCAGGUGUUUCCUGCCCUGGGCCAGAUCCCAGGCACUGCAGCAAUAUCUCUGCAUGAUCUAGGGCUCCUGGAAAUAGCCCAUUAAGGGCAAAACUCGCUGCCCAGAAAACAUUAGAACAUUAAAAGAGCAGGGUCUCAUCUGAUUGUCUUGGUUUCCUGAGGCUCAUUCAGUCUGUGUCCACUGGUUUCAGUCUGAGUUCUCUGCACUUUGAGGAUGCAGACAGUGAAGUUCUCCCAUGGUUAUAGGGGGAGAGAUCAUAGGAAUGCUAUGGAAAGAGGCCUGAAGUCAGAGCCAGCUAGUGGUUAUUAUUUAUUAAUUGCCUGUGAGGUGCCAGGCGCACAUAUUAGACCAUAUGUGAUUGCAGUGAGCCACCCGGAUCCCCUUCAAGCUGCUGCUGCAGCUGAUGGAAGUCCUAUUGGCAGACAGCCUUCUCUCAUCAGCCCCUUCAGGACUUGCCUCAGUUGCAGAGAGCUGCCUUCCCCAAGAUCACACCCUUCCCUGGGGACUCACAACCAAUGGCUGAUCCAGAAGAAUCCAUAAAGCCCGUAUCAUUUCAGCCCAAUUUAGGACAGCUUUGUUGAGCCAUUAGACCUACAUGCAGCCCAACCUCUCCUUCUACCCACUUCUUCUUUCUUCCCUUUCCUUCCACGGUGUCUGUUCCAAGCACUUGCCUUAAUAAACAUGUAACAGGUUAAACUCUGUCUCGAUGUCUGCUUCAAGGAGAACCCAACCUGUGACAGUGAUAACAGAUAAAAACAAAGGACAUCACUUUUCCCUGCCUUACUUUCCAUUUACCACUAAAAAGGGUCUUGGACUUGCCCACUCAGUUUCUUCUCUUUCUUCACUCUUUGGAGAUGGUCCCUCCACUACCACAGACACAAAAAAGAAGAGUUGGGAAGAGAGAGGGGUGAAAACAUUUGGGGCACUGCAGGCCUAGUGCUAGGUGACUGAAGACUACCUGGAGGGUGCAGGAAGUGACUGUUUCUCCAUCAUGUAUUGUAUUGCUAUAGUGACUUAAAAAACAAGUAGGUGAUUUGUGUUUUUUUGGUUUUUUUUUGUUUUUUUGGUUUUUUUUUUGAGACAGAGUCUCGCUCUGUCACCCAGGCUGGAGUGCAGUGGCGCUAUCUUGGCUCACUGCAAGCUCCACCUCCUGGGUUCAC